GAUGAACGCUGGCGGCGUGCCUAAUACAUGCAAGUCGAGCGAACGGACGAGAAGCUUGCUUCUCUGAUGUUAGCGGCGGACGGGUGAGUAACACGUGGAUAACCUACCUAUAAGACUGGGAUAAUUUCGGGAAACCGGAGCUAAUACCGGAUAAUAUUUUGAACCGCAUGGUUCAAAAGUGAAAGACGGUCUUGCUGUCACUUAUAGAUGGAUCCGCGCUGCAUUAGCUAGUUGGUAAGGUAACGGCUUACCAAGGCAACGAUGCAUAGCCGACCUGAGAGGGUGAUCGGCCACACUGGAACUGAGACACGGGCCAGACUCAUACGGGAGGCAGCAGUAGGGAAUCUUCCGCAAUGGGCGAAAGCCUGACGGAGCAACGCCGCGUGAGUGAUGAAGGUCUUCGGAUCGUAAAACUCUGUUAUUAGGGAAGAACAUAUGUGUAAGUAACUGUGCACAUCUUGACGGUACCUAAUCAGAAAGCCACGGCUAACUACGU
rnacentral:rRNA from 1 species